UUGUAGCCCCGAUUGCAGUGAAAAUCCUUUUUUUAAUUCGCUUUUUGGGCGAAGUAAAAAAGAUUGUAGCGAAAAGCGGGAAAUAGC
rnacentral:sRNA from 1 species